AUUCAAUACAACCAAGUCGGCCCAAGCCCAAUAGUUUGUUGAUUCUACUACGUACUUAUUUGUCUGAGAUUUUUCAAAAUUUUCUCUACUCCCGCCAUUAACGUUUUUCUUCUUCAAGUUAGAGAGAGAAAGAGAGAGGAGAGAGAAUGGGAGAUUUGAAGAAAUGGUCGGUGACAUACACAAAGCAUGUGAAGCAGAAGAGAAAAGUUUAUCAAGAUGGAAGUCUUCAUCUCCUUUCGAACAACAAGGUGGUGCUGUAUGAUGAGGGUGAGCAGCUAUUAGACAGUAAAUUCUUGACGAAAGAUGAAGCAGUGAAAUCAGGGGAGUCAUUAACAUUUUCUUCAUUUCUUGUUGAUAUUGGUGAUCCUGAAAACAACUGCAAUCCAAUCUCCAAUCCAAAGCCCAAAUAUGAACGUGAUGUUAAGCCUCACGAGAGAACUCAAAUGCCUCAAGGAGAGAAAUUGAGACAUACUUUUACUGGUAGGAAGCCUAAUACAGCAGGAAGAAAGAAUACAACAGUAUGCUUAAGUCCGUCUCAGAAGAUUAUCAGAGAGUUCAAGAAAAAUGAAGUUCUCAAGUAUGGUGCACACAGCCCAACAAGUCCAGUGACUCCAUCUGCUAAAGAGUGGGAGGCAUUGUAUACAACGCAACUUACACAAAAGGCCAAGAAAUAUCAUGAUGGCUUCAUACGCAUGAUCAUUUGUGGUUCACAGGGGAGGCAGAUUAUGCUGUAUGACUGCAGCAAAAAUCAAAUAGAUCACAGAUUUUUGAAUAAAGAUGAAGUUAUCAAUUCUGGUGGAUCAUUGACAUUUGAUGCUCAUUUGGUUGAUAUUGGAGAUCCUGUGGGGACCAGCGGAGAUGACGCAGAUGUGAAGAUAAAAGGAAGAAACAGCAUUUCUACUGAAAAAUCAGAGAUACUUUCUGGCCGCCAAUGGCAAAAGCCGUUUAGUGCAGAUUUUUCGGCUUCAAAAGCAAAAAGAAGCAAAGAAUCUACACUGAUGGAUCAAGUUGGUUCUGGCGAUUCCGUUGGGAUAGGGAAACCUCGAAAUAUCAAACAUGUUAACUCUAGUGCAAGAAGAAUUGGAUUUGAUGAGAUUAAACAGAAGAACACUGCUUCUCACCCGCCUAUACGUGAUGCCAAUCAAAUCUUAUCAAUUAUGAGGAAACCUAUGACUCAGGAAACCCUUUCCACUGUCAACGAUGCUCCUGUGCUGGUUCAGUUACAUGAUGACAGUCAGCCAAGUCAGACAUUUGACAAUUCCCUUCCAGUUGAUCGGUGUCAAGUGAUAGAGGCAGACCAGGCAGUGGAGAAGCAUAACAAUGAGAAGGCUGCAGCUGGAGGAGACAGUAGCACAUUUUCUGAAGGCAAUUGUAGUAACCUUGAAAGGCCAGAUUCCACAGAAGGGACUGAAAUAAUAAGAUCCAAUGCAUAUGAAUCUCCUCGCAAGAACAAAUCUGCUGCUGAAUCAAGCGUUGUUGAUGAAAGACCAGCUGUCCUACAAUCUUCUAAAGGCAAGUAGCCUAUCUAGCAUGCAAUAGACGGCUUAUGAUAUCAUCAGCACUAUAUCACCUUACUUAAAAUCUGACUAAACUUCUUCAGGAACAAGCUUCAUAGACGGUCAUUCAUCUGUGGUUAGUGAAACUACAACCUAUCAGCCUUCUACAAAAUUGUUGAAGACAGACCCAGAAAGUAAGGAACAAACAGCUUCCACCAGAGACAUGUCAAAAUGGUUUGGUAAUCUGGUUGGCACGAAGAAAACGAAAGCUGUGAACACUGAAAAGUCAAAUAUAGCAUUGGACUGCCCAAGUUUCGAUUUGGGAAUUUAACGCGAGUUUGCAAUGAGUUAUUAUAGCUGGUCUUGCGUAACUUACCAUUUUUUAGCUAUUCACUUUACUAAUGUUUAUGAUUUAACAUCAAAGCGAAGGUGUUGAGAAAGGUUGUUCAAUUUCGGAUAUCCGAUCCGAUUCGAAAAUUCGGAUAUCCAAAAUUUUGGAUAUCCGGAUUUUCAGAUUGAAUAAUCAGAUUUUCGAAUUAAAUCACCGGAUUUUAGAAAACCCGAAUUUUUUUUGGAUAUCCAAUUCGAAAUAUCCGAAAUCUUAAAACCGGAUCAGAUAUCUGAAAUUUUAGGUCGGAUAUUUGGAUAAGAUAUUUCGGAACAUCCCUUGAGAUUACAGUUGGUUUCCAAAAAACAAAAAUAAAGCAAGAAAAAGAAAGUAUAGUUAGUAAAGGAAAAGUAUUUGACUUGCAGUACGCAAAACCUGGGUUUCAAACCAUCUCCAGAUUAUAUACCAAUGCAUUAUUUAAGAAAAUUCCUCAACUCUAAAAUACGCGGUAU